AUGAUCAUUUCCGUGGAAAACCCCCCACCUCGCCCGGAGGCUCGGAGGCUACACGCGGGUUGCAGGCCCAACGCCGGCUGCAACCGGCGUUUCCGACGCCACCGUCGGCUUCAUCAACAACAGCAAGACCCUCCACCAAACUUUUCCAAAUUGCGCGGAGGCUCGGAGGCUACACCCAGUGGGUGCGCUCGUGCGCCCCCACUCAGCCGGUGGACUUCGCGUCCGCGUCCGGCAAAGCGCCGCGCCUUCCAGCCGGCGGACUCCGUGUCCGCGCUCGGCACCCUCGACAUCACCGUCGGCUUUCUCAACAACAGCAAGACCCUUCGCCCAACUUUUCCAAGUUGUGCGGAGGCUCGGAGCCUAAACCCAGUGGGUGAGCUCGUGCGCCCCCACUCAGCCGGUGGACUCCGCGUCCGCGUCCGGCAAGGCCCCGCGCCUUCCAGCCGACGGACUCCGUGUCCGCGCCCGGCACCCUCGACAUCACUGUCGGCUUUAUUAACAACAGCAAGACCCUUCGCCCAACUUUUCAAAGUUGCGCGGAGGCUCGAGGCUACAUCCAGUGGGUGCACUCGCGCGCCCCCACUCAACCGACGGACUCCACGUCCGCGUCCGGCAAGGCCCCGCGCCUUCCAGUCGGCGGACUCCGUGUCCGCGCCCGGCACCCUCGACAUCAUAGUCGGCUUUAUCAACAACAGCAAGACCCUUCGCCCAACUUUUCCAAGUUGCGCGGAGGCUCGGAGGCUACACCCAGUGGGUGCACUCGCGCGCCCCCACUCAGCCGGAGGACUCCGCGUCCGCGUCCGGCAAGGCCCCGCGCCUUCCAGCCGGUGGACUCCGUGUCCGCGCCCGGCACCCUCGACAUCACCGUCGGCUUCAUCAACAACAGCAAGACCCUCCGCCCAACUUUUCCAAGUUGCACGGAGGCUCGGAGGCUACACCAGUGGGUGCGCUCGCGCGUCCCACUCAGCCGGCGGACUCCGUGUCCGCGGCACCCUCGACGUCACCAUCGGCUUCUACAUCGACACCCGCUAA
rnacentral:rRNA from 1 species